ACAGGUUUGAGGCCACAGCAGAAGUCUCAUGACACAGUCCUGUCAGAUUCCAACAAAUCUGCAAAUUCUGCU
rnacentral:ribozyme from 1 species